GUGCUUGCUUUAGUAACACAUAUGCUAAAAUACUAUGCAACAUAGGAGAUUAGUAUGGCUCCUGCACAAGGAUGAAACACAAAGUCAUAAAGUGUCCCAUAUUUUG
ensembl:snRNA U6 U6 spliceosomal RNA